AUAUUUCACAGCACUGUCCUUUAAAUAUAUAUAUUUCACAGCACUGCCCUUUAAAUAUAUCUAUUUCACAGCACUGUCCUUUAAAUAUAUAUAUUUCACAGCACUGCCCUUUAAAUAUAUAUAUUUCACAGCACUGUCCUUUAAAUAUAUAUAUUUCACAGCACUGUCCUUUAAAUAUAUAUAUUUCACAGCACUGUCCUUUAAAUAUAUAUAUUUCACAGCACUGCCCUUUAAAUAUAUAUAUUUCACAGCACUGUCCUUUAAAUAUAUAUAUAUUUCACAGCACUGUCCUUUAAAUAUAUAUAUUUCACAGCACUGUCCUUUAAAUAUAUAUAUUUCACAGCACUGUCCUUUAAAUAUAUAUAUUUCACAGCACUGCCCUUUAAAUAUAUAUAUUUCACAGCACUGUCCUUUAAAUAUGUCUAUUUCACAGUAGUGUCAUUUUAAUGUACAUUAAGUAAUACAUUAAUAGGACAUACAUGCAUGUACUAUGUACAGUAUGUAGCUAUAGUGAUGCCCUCUCAGUCCAGNNNNNNNNNNACACACACACACACACACACACACACACACACACACACACACACACACAGAAGGACUGACACGCAUGCACACAUUCACGCAGAUACACGCACACCCCAGUGAAACUCCUGUAAUUGCUAUCUUUAGACAGUGAACUUAGUCAUAUCUGUCCAUCUGAGGCUGGUGAUACACAGCAUAAUCAUAAUGUUAUUUGGUAAUUUGGGAGGAUGGAGAAAUGAUCUCAAAGACUGGUGGGUGUUGGUGUGAAAAACUGUACUACUGACUAAAGCUCUUCCCACCACACCUACACACACACAAAAAAAACGCUUGGUUGAAAACAACCCAAUUUGGGUAACUAUUGGACAGAACACAAUUAGGUCACAAACAACCCAUUAUUUUCUUUGGUUGGUUGAUGCUGGGUUAUUGAGCUAUGAUCCACCGGGUCAGAGCAGAAGACUAGGGGUGUGGCUUUCAGAUCAUUAUUUUUGGUCACACGUGAGAGGACAUUUAAUUCUGCUUAAUCCAUUCGGUUGUAUUGUCAACACAUGUUAAGGUUGAGCACUGAUACUUUUGUAACUUUAAUAAGGCUUUCACAAGAGUACGAGUUCAUUCAAUGCAUUUGCAUAUCCCAAUGUUGGGAAACUUACCACUUUGUUAUAAUAUUUAAAUAAUAGUGUUAUAAAUGUUGUAUUAAAAUAUGUAAUCUGCUAAAAUAUUGAAGGAAAAUAUACAUUUGCAAUGUACAAACUUAACAUGAUGAAUAUGGAGGACAUUUAUUCUCACGGGUGGCUAAAUAUAACUAUCUGAAAGCUAAGCCCCCAAUAGGCCACACCUUUGAAUUACCAAAACAUGGGUUAAUUUAACCAUUAGUUGGGCUUUUAUUCACUUUCAUGCUGGGUUGACCCAGAAGAUGUUUUUUAAAAAAUGUUUUCAAGGUUCAAGUUUUAAUGUCAAAUAUAUGCACAAGUAAAGUGAAAUGCUUUCUUGCAAGCUCUAAACCUAACAAUGCAGUAAUCAAUACCAACGUAAUACUAAAAAUAACACAACGAGAACAAUAAACACACAAUAAAUGUAAAUAAGAAGAACACAAUAAGUAAGUAAGCAUACUAUAUACAGGAUCAGUCAGUUCCAAUAUCAUAUUUACAAUGUGCAGGGAUACUGGCCGUGAUACGAGGUAGAUAUGUAUAGGGUUAAGGUGACUAGGCAUCAGCAGCAGCGUUUAUGAUGAUUGUAUAGGAGUGGAUGUGUGUGUAGAGUCAGUAUAGUUAAUAAUGGCGCCGGAGGGGAUGGCUGCCGUUUUACGUGCUCGAUUCCAACUGUGCUAUUUUUGUCAUGUACUGUCAUGUUGUGUCUUGUCUCUGUCCUUUCCCUUCACCCUGUCUCCCUCUGCUGGUCGUUGUUAGGUUACCUUUUCUCCCCCGCUUUCCCCCAGCUGUUCCUUGUCUCCUCUAACUACCCAUUCACCCCGUUUCCCACCUGUUCCCUUUUUCCCUCUGAUUAGGUCCCUAUAUCUCUCUCUGUUUCUGUUCCUGUCCUUGUCGGAUUCUUGUUUGUUGUGUUUCAUGCCUGAGCCAGACUAUCGUCAUGUUUGCUGUAACCUUGUCCUGUCCUGUCGGAAUCUGCCGGUCUAUCUGAGCCUACCUAUGUUUGGUUAUUAAAGAAGCUCUGUUUAAGUUAGUUCGCUUUUGGGUCCUCAUUCACUCACCAUAACAGAAGAAUCCGACCAAGAAUGGACCCAGCGACUUCGGAUCCUCUCCACUCAGCCGUCGGGAUCCAGGGAGC
rnacentral:lncRNA from 13 species